GUAGUCUCGCACAGAUGCAUAUCAAUAAGCGGAGGAAAAGAAACUAACAAGGAUUCCCCUAGUAGCGGCGAGUGAAGCGGGAAGAGCUCAAAUUUGAAAUCUUAAAGGGUUUCCCUUUACGAAUUGUAGUUUAAAGAAGUGUUUUCUGUUGAGGUUUUGGUAAAAGUUCUUUGGAAUAGGACAUCAUAGAGGGUGAGAAUCCCGUAUUUGACCUUUACUUUCAACUUUGUGAUACACUUUCAAAGAGUCGGAUUGUUUGGGAAUGCAGUCCAAAAUGGGUGGUAAAUUUCAUCUAAAGCUAAAUAUUGGCGAGAGACCGAUAGCGAACAAGUACCGUGAGGGAAAGAUGAAAAGAACUUUGAAAAGAGAGUUAAACAGUACGUGAAAUUGUCAAAAGGGAAGCGUUUGACACCAGUGUUGUUUUUCUGAAAAUCAAUUAAAGAACUGUUUAUGCUAAGUUGUUUAGACUUUAUCAGCUAUCUGUUUAGUUUUGAGCUUUUCUUUAAUGCACUUUUCAGUUAACAAGUCAACAUCAAUUUCUUUUGCUGUAAAAAAGCUGAGGAAGGUGGCUUGAGAUUCGUCUUAAGUGUUUAUAGCCUCUUGCCUAUGCAGUCGGAGAGAUUGAGGUCUGCAGCGUAGAUCCUUCGGGGCUAAAUGCAUUUGUGCUAAGUUAUAGCAUUUUAUAGACAACUUGUUGACUAUGAUUUGUCUUGUAGCUUACUCGCUUAUGUUAUUUUACCUACGCUUAGGAUGUUGAUCUGUAGUGCGUGCGC
rnacentral:rRNA from 1 species